CGGUAGAACGCCAGCCCAGUCCGGGCACGGGGGGCACCGCACCCACCGUCGGCGACUUCCUCUGUUGAGGCGCUGGGGAAACCGCGGCCCUCCGGCUUCCUGCAGCGCCCGGGGCGGGGGCAGCUCCCCGAGCCCACCCCGGGGGUGAGGGGAACUUAGCGCAGAAAAGCAGAGAGCCAGGCAGGCAGAGUGCCUUGUGGAGGGUAGAAUCAUAAGUUGUAGGAGGGCCACACUAGAGCUGUCAGUCGGGACUAGAACGAAGACUUCUGGAGUAACAUUCUCAAAGAAAGCACAACAAAGAUGCCACGGUCUCCAGCGAGCUCUCCAGAGGAAAGCCAUCUAUUUUCUCACAGGGUGUGCAGCUGGGCCAGGUAAAUGAAGACCCUCCCCACCUCUGCAUUUCAAGAAGAGAUGCCCAACUCCUGGGAGGAAUCUUGCAGAGUCCAGGGAAAGGUAGUGAGCCUGUUCUAUGGAGGAAGGGCUCAGAAGGGAAAUAGUGCUCUAGGGUAGAGUGGCACCCACAGCACUGAUCUGCCUGCAUAGGGCAUCUUCAACCCAGUGAGGCAUACUGUACAGGAACUAGCCACCAAUUCCUGGCUGCUCUUCCUGCCCAGGUAGAAGAGAACACCAAGGAAGGGACAGAAGAUCCUGAUCCACACUCCUGAAGGCCUCAUCCACAUAGUCAAUUACUACCUAGCCUACUCCUUGAGCCAGCUAGUUUCCAUUUGCCUUAAUCUAGCUUCUGCCCACCAGUGUCCCAAACAGGCACCGGUCCAGCCCUCCUCCUCUCAACCUAGAGAAUAAACCAGAUUUCUAUCCUUGGAAGAUGACUUUCCUGCUCAGCUCAAUGGGCUUUUUGCUGGGGACAAGGAAGAAACGACCCGGGUUCCUAGAGGUUCACUUGCAGGUGUAUAGACACACACACACACACACACACACACACACACACACACACACACACACACGCACGAGCACAAGCCUUCUUCGGACUCUGAGAAGGACAGGGCCUUCAAAUGCAUGUUCCCUACGCCAGCAUCUCAACUCACUGUGCCCUCAGCAUCCUCACUGCUACUGUCCUUUGACAGACAACACAGUGGGGACAGAUAGUCUGGGGAGUCUCAGCCCUGGCACAGUCACACAGUUGUGACACUGGGACCCAUCACACAGACCCUGCCAGCCCCAGGCCAGAUCAUUCCUUGAAGCUGUCUUCAAUUGCUGGAGCAGACAUCAGACUUCACUUCAUACCUUUUCUACUUCCUGAAAGAUCAAGUCAGACCAAAGGAAGCUGAGAACACGUGCUCACCACCUUCACCCAGGCCAGGAAGAAGCAGCCGUGCUAUCAGUGUGCACAGCUGUCUGGAAAGGAGUGUCCAGGAGACCUCCAGGCCCACUAGCGACACCUACCCUCCAGAGCAUGCCCGCCCUGCGCAGAUGGCUCUUUCACACCCUGGGCUCCUGGAGACCCAGCACCUGACUGUUACAGCGAUAGAGAAGCCUAAGGUACAUAAGAACUUGCAGGGGUCAGGGGUAUAGGGUAUGGGUUGCUAAGUCCUGGACAAGCACAUUUUCAAGGACAUCUCUGCAAGAACAUCUAUUCCCAGCUGGGCUCUACAGGCGUGGGCAUACCCACCUAACCUUGUUUUUGAGGUGGGGUCUCACUGUAGUUCAGGCUGGCCUCAGACUCAUGGCAACUGUUCUGCUUCAGCCUCUGACUGACUGCUGGGGCUACAGAUGUGAGCUACUACCUAGCUUGCCCUGGCCCCUUAAGCCCCAUUUUUACACCAUGUGAUAUCCUGCACUCCAACCCUUGGUUUGUACCAUCAACUCUCUCCAGAGGCAUCAUCAUCUCUGGCGGACCGGCAACAGCAAAGCCCCCAGUGAGGUAUUACUCACAGGGUGAGAAUCACCCUUAUUCUCCUCACCAGAUGGAUGGUUUUGAGUAGAUGCUGGAGUGUGAAGUAUCAACCUCACUGCAGAGGUUGACAGGCCUUGCCUACAUUCUCUCCUUGAGAAUUCUUUGGGCUUCAAAGAGCUCUGAGCGUCCUGGUUCUUGUUAAUAGCCUAGGCAGUGGAAUCCAGUGGGUCCUAGCUGCUCAUGAAGCACCUGCACGCUGAAAGGUAUGGACUUCUAUCACUACCACUCAUCCAUCUCAGAGAACCCCGAAUGCCUCAAGUUGGCUUUGGCAGCUCUCUAGCAGCCACGGAGGCUCAGGUGACAGGCCAUCUUGACCAGUCUCUACAGUUCUCCUUGGGAAGGUAGACUUACUUAGCCUCUAGCACACCUGGCCAACGGCAUAUGGAGGCACUCAUGGCUCAAGUGGGGGUGGGCCUCUGGUCUUGUGAAGUUAAGUUCCAGAUGACAGAGCUGGACUGUGCCUAAGGUACUGCUAGCUGAGCUACCCAGGGGACCAUGUGGCCCCAAUGGUCUCUUACAGCUCUUCCUUCUCAUGUCUGAGCCCUUAUAGACCUUCAGGUCUUUCCGGGUUCCUUUCUUGCAGGCUCUUACUUCAGUCCCAAGGUGGAACCUCUGCCAUCCUUCUAAGCUGAACUGGAACAAGAAUACUCCUUAAAGAGUCCUAAUUUCUAGCCUUGCCGCCAGUCACCUGCCUCACUAUUGUGGGGCAAUGGCUCUAUAUAACACUGGAUCUGGUAACUUUCCUACUGCGCACGCGACAGCCAGUUUUCUUCUUUAAGGUCUAGACCAAGUGAAACAGGCCUCCCUUCUCCAGAUCCAGAGACCCUAGGUUCCCCCAAAGCAUGUAGUCUACUUAACUCUCUUGAGCUAGAUCCUGUGUUGUGCACCUGUGUAGUGCCUUGAGACAUCACUGUAUCCAAUGGUGCUGAGUGAGGACAGAGGUGAAUGAAGAAGCAUGAAAAGACUGGCUCAAGGAACAUCUCCAGGCUGCUAAGCGAGGGUUGCUAAUCUCUGCUCAGAGUUUCCUGUUGCUGGGACUGGAAUGGCAUGGACUUCAGCAGACAGCAAUGCUGUACCACUCGAGUCUGUGGGUCCUGGUGUAUGUAUGUGUACCUUCUGUGCACAGGGCCACUAUUCCCACCAGCACUUUUGUUUUUUAAAUGGAAAAUACAAUCCUCUACCUCAGGAGAGAAAAGGCCGAAACUCAGCCAGUCCCCAGGGCUCCUGUGAACCCUGCAAUGGAUAUGUAAUGGAGCAUGUCAGCCCAGCUUAACUGGCACCUUCAGCGCAGUGGCACAGCAGACUACAUGAAGAUAACGACAAGGCUGUGGUGGGUAAACGGUUGCAGUGGGAAAGGAACAGACAGGUCUACUAGGUGGGGUAGCCCUGGAGACUUCUUUAUGCAGGGAGACCAAAAAGAGAGGCAGCCCACUGACAGGCAGUGAAGAUGGUGGGGUAGCUUUGAGAGCAAGUGUAGUUACUGUGGCAGGCUACAUGUGGCAGAGGGUAUCACAUCUGGGUAGUGGGUAAUCUUCAGAGAAAGGAAGGGCUGCCAGAGGUCAGAGGAAUAAAUCAGGCAACACAGAGUAACAGCCUCUGAGGUAGCCUGGAGGAGCUGUGAGGCGCAGAUUUAGACCAUGAGCUCCCUGUCUAGGAACCUGUGGUUGGCCCAGUAUCAUCCAGGUCAUAUAGGCCCAUUUUGCUUUACCCAGUGUGCCUCUCCUGCCCUACAAGUAACCCUCACUCCCAUACUGCUGCCCCUUCUCAACAGGGUGUGGAUUCGAGUCCCUGAGCUCCUCCUUAGCAUAUAAGGAGGGCACUUACAAUGGGUUCCUCUAUGCCCUCACUUCAGGCUGGGCAGAGGAGCCCACUAUAAUAACCCACUCUGUAGAGGGCUAAGCUGCUUCCAUUUCAUUUCAGGAGAGGGGCCCAGAUCCUAGGAAAGCGUUCUCUGGCAGGCACACUGGAAAAACAGACAAACAAACACACCCAGGAUAAUCUAUACGUCUACUAAUCCCUGGUCCCUAAGGGAUAGUUUUUAUAUAGCCUGAGGAUUCUGGCUGGCCUAAGGGAGUGCUUGUGGGAGGGAGUCAUGAAGAAGCAAGUGUAGAUGAGAUGGGGGCUCAAGCUACAUGUGGUGGUCUCUGCCAAGCAGCCACAAACAGCAGGUACUCUGGCAGACAGGAAGAUGGGAAAGGCUGGGCUUUAGGCUUGAUCAUAAGACAGGAAAAGGCUGAGAGCAAACUGGCAACUUCAUGGACAUUCUAGCUGCCAAGAAGGCUUAUGCCCACUGUUUUUUCUGGCUCCAUGAUGGUCAUAGGGAGGAACCUUUUGCAUCCUGGGUAAUGUCAGAAGAAGAAACAUCCGACAGAGUAGGGUCAGCUCCACAUAUACAGAGUCAUCCCUCAAACCAGAAUGUAGGUAAAUCUAGAUGCAGAUCCUAGACAUAGGUCUCCUCUAUGACAGCCCUGGGCGCCUUACCCAUGGUGUGAAAAAACUUGAUAAGGUUCCACCCAAACAGGAAUGGGGUCACCUAUUCAGAGCAGAGGCCCUCUGAUGGUAAAAUAUAACUUAUGUCUAACCUU